GAUGAAGAACGUAGCGAAAUGCGAUAAGUAAUGCGAAUUGCAGAAUCCAGUGAAUCAUCGAAUCUUUGAACGCACAUUGCGCCCGCCAGCAUUCUGGCGGGCAUGCCUGUUCGAGCGUCAUUUCAACCCUCGACCUCCCCUUGGGGAGGUCGGCGUUGGGGACCGGCAGCACACCGCCGGCCCUGAAAUGGAGUGGCGGCCCGUCCGCGGCGACCUCUGCGCAGUAAUACAGCUCGCACCGGGACCCCGACGCGGCCACGCCGUAAAACACCCAACUUCUGAACGUUGACCUCGAAUCAGGUAGGACUACCCGCUGAACUUAAGCAUAUCAAUAAGCGGAGGA
rnacentral:misc_RNA from 1 species